CCAGCCACGGCUCACCACUUUCCCCUGAAAUUCAAAUGAUUUACCAACACAUACCCAACUUUUUUGUCAUCUCACCCACACACUCAAAAGUUGUCGAAAAAAGUUUCCAUAAGUAAGAGCAGCGUAGCUAUAAGAAUUCGCACUCUUAAUAAGAAUUAUAUGCGUUAGAGCGAGCAAGUGAAAAUCAGGCGAAAUUUGACAGCGAAUUUCAAAUUUGAUUCUAGUAGGCUGCGAAGAAAAACAUCAAUUUCGCGCAAAAUUUUGGAGAUAGCCAAACAUCAGCAGGAGACUUAAGCCAUCAGAACCUUGAAGAUUGCCAAACAUCAGCAACGACGCCCACAGCACAUUCAACGCCAUUGGUCGCCAACAACUCUCAACCCUACAACAUUCCAGCUACAUUGUUCGGUCGUGGAAUACAGACAGUAGAAGUCAGCGGAGAUUAGAUAUAUAUAUAAAUUUUAUCUGUUAUUAAUUUUAUUAUUAUAAUAUCUAAUAUAAUAAUAA